rnacentral:rRNA from 1 species
AGCGUACACGGUGGAUGCCCUGGCAGUCAGAGGCGAUGAAGGACGUGCUAAUCUGCGAUAAGCGUCGGUAAGGUGAUAUGAACCGUUAUAACCGGCGAUUUCCGAAUGGGGAAACCCAGUGUGUUUCGACACACUAUCAUUAACUGAAUCCAUAGGUUAAUGAGGCGAACCGGGGGAACUGAAACAUCUAAGUACCCCGAGGAAAAGAAAUCAACCGAGAUUCCCCCAGUAGCGGCGAGCGAACGGGGAGCAGCCCAGAGCCUGAAUCAGUGUGUGUGUUAGUGGAAGCGUCUGGAAAGGCGCGCGAUACAGGGUGACAGCCCCGUACACAAAAAUGCACAUGCUGUGAGCUCGAUGAGUAGGGCGGGACACGUGGUAUCCUGUCUGAAUAUGGGGGGACCAUCCUCCAAGGCUAAAUACUCCUGACUGACCGAUAGUGAACCAGUACCGUGAGGGAAAGGCGAAAAGAACCCCGGCGAGGGGAGUGAAAAAGAACCUGAAACCGUGUACGUACAAGCAGUGGGAGCACGCUUAGGCGUGUGACUGCGUACCUUUUGUAUAAUGGGUCAGCGACUUAUAUUCUGUAGCAAGGUUAACCGAAUAGGGGAGCCGAAGGGAAACCGAGUCUUAACUGGGCGUUAAGUUGCAGGGUAUAGACCCGAAACCCGGUGAUCUAGCCAUGGGCAGGUUGAAGGUUGGGUAACACUAACUGGAGGACCGAACCGACUAAUGUUGAAAAAUUAGCGGAUGACUUGUGGCUGGGGGUGAAAGGCCAAUCAAACCGGGAGAUAGCUGGUUCUCCCCGAAAGCUAUUUAGGUAGCGCCUCGUGAAUUCAUCUCCGGGGGUAGAGCACUGUUUCGGCAAGGGGGUCAUCCCGACUUACCAACCCGAUGCAAACUGCGAAUACCGGAGAAUGUUAUCACGGGAGACACACGGCGGGUGCUAACGUCCGUCGUGAAGAGGGAAACAACCCAGACCGCCAGCUAAGGUCCCAAAGUCAUGGUUAAGUGGGAAACGAUGUGGGAAGGCCCAGACAGCCAGGAUGUUGGCUUAGAAGCAGCCAUCAUUUAAAGAAAGCGUAAUAGCUCACUGGUCGAGUCGGCCUGCGCGGAAGAUGUAACGGGGCUAAACCAUGCACCGAAGCUGCGGCAGCGACGCUGAUGCGUUGUUGGGUAGGGGAGCGUUCUGUAAGCCUGUGAAGGUGUGCUGUGAGGCAUGCUGGAGGUAUCAGAAGUGCGAAUGCUGACAUAAGUAACGAUAAAGCGGGUGAAAAGCCCGCUCGCCGGAAGACCAAGGGUUCCUGUCCAACGUUAAUCGGGGCAGGGUGAGUCGACCCCUAAGGCGAGGCCGAAAGGCGUAGUCGAUGGGAAACAGGUUAAUAUUCCUGUACUUGGUGUUACUGCGAAGGGGGGACGGAGAAGGCUAUGUUGGCCGGGCGACGGUUGUCCCGGUUUAAGCGUGUAGGCUGGUUUUCCAGGCAAAUCCGGAAAAUCAAGGCUGAGGCGUGAUGACGAGGCACUACGGUGCUGAAGCAACAAAUGCCCUGCUUCCAGGAAAAGCCUCUAAGCAUCAGGUAACAUCAAAUCGUACCCCAAACCGACACAGGUGGUCAGGUAGAGAAUACCAAGGCGCUUGAGAGAACUCGGGUGAAGGAACUAGGCAAAAUGGUGCCGUAACUUCGGGAGAAGGCACGCUGAUAUGUAGGUGAAGUCCCUCGCGGAUGGAGCUGAAAUCAGUCGAAGAUACCAGCUGGCUGCAACUGUUUAUUAAAAACACAGCACUGUGCAAACACGAAAGUGGACGUAUACGGUGUGACGCCUGCCCGGUGCCGGAAGGUUAAUUGAUGGGGUUAGCCGCAAGGCGAAGCUCUUGAUCGAAGCCCCGGUAAACGGCGGCCGUAACUAUAACGGUCCUAAGGUAGCGAAAUUCCUUGUCGGGUAAGUUCCGACCUGCACGAAUGGCGUAAUGAUGGCCAGGCUGUCUCCACCCGAGACUCAGUGAAAUUGAACUCGCUGUGAAGAUGCAGUGUACCCGCGGCAAGACGGAAAGACCCCGUGAACCUUUACUAUAGCUUGACACUGAACAUUGAGCCUUGAUGUGUAGGAUAGGUGGGAGGCUUAGAAGUGUGGACGCCAGUCUGCAUGGAGCCGACCUUGAAAUACCACCCUUUAAUGUUUGAUGUUCUAACGUUGACCCGUAAUCCGGGUUGCGGACAGUGUCUGGUGGGUAGUUUGACUGGGGCGGUCUCCUCCUAAAGAGUAACGGAGGAGCACGAAGGUUGGCUAAUCCUGGUCGGACAUCAGGAGGUUAGUGCAAUGGCAUAAGCCAGCUUGACUGCGAGCGUGACGGCGCGAGCAGGUGCGAAAGCAGGUCAUAGUGAUCCGGUGGUUCUGAAUGGAAGGGCCAUCGCUCAACGGAUAAAAGGUACUCCGGGGAUAACAGGCUGAUACCGCCCAAGAGUUCAUAUCGACGGCGGUGUUUGGCACCUCGAUGUCGGCUCAUCACAUCCUGGGGCUGAAGUAGGUCCCAAGGGUAUGGCUGUUCGCCAUUUAAAGUGGUACGCGAGCUGGGUUUAGAACGUCGUGAGACAGUUCGGUCCCUAUCUGCCGUGGGCGCUGGAGAACUGAGGGGGGCUGCUCCUAGUACGAGAGGACCGGAGUGGACGCAUCACUGGUGUUCGGGUUGUCAUGCCAAUGGCACUGCCCGGUAGCUAAAUGCGGAAGAGAUAAGUGCUGAAAGCAUCUAAGCACGAAACUUGCCCCGAGAUGAGUUCUCCCUGACUCCUUGA